GAAUCCGAGGUAGACCUGUUGGUCGGCGGCGACGGCGAGCAGACGGUCUUAGCGCAGGCGCCGAAGAACGGCGACGACUCCUGGGGCGGCGGAAGCGACCGGGUGAACGACUGGAAGGAACGGCUCGGCGUCACCAUGGAAGUUUCCAAGAGGAGGAAGGAGGCGGUGAAGGAGGCGGUGGAGAGGGACCGGUGUACAACAACGCACUAGUGUAACGAUUAACCGAAUUAGAUUGUCAAAAUCAUACCAUAAGCGGAGGUUUGCUGUCGCUGGAAAGGAUUGGUGCCGACAAAGGACAACUGAUACUUAACGGCUGUAACGAAACAACGAGCGGCGUGCUGCGCAACGUUACGUGAUCACCGCCGCUCAGCAUCAGCUGGAGUACCUGCGUGUGGUAGAGACCCUGAACGGCUUCGCCGUUGAUGUGGGUUAUCAGGUCGCCCGGUCUCAGACCCGCCUCGAACGCCGGACUCGACUGAUCCACCGCCUGCGGAAAGGAGGAAGAAAAAAAGAAAACGCGAGACUCACGGAGACGUUACUAGAGCCUGGAGUUGUUCCGUAACCGCUCGACGGUAAGCUAGCAACGGACCAUCGUCUGCCAUCGGCGACCGCGGUGUUACUAGCGCUGAUUCUGCAUGAAAAAUUUGAGGUAAUGACGACGAUGAUCACCGACAGACACAACUAGCAGUCUGGAUGAAGUGAACGGAUAUCAGAAUUGUUUUGCUUUCUGGCAGAAAAGAAUCUAAGCGUUAAGCUCCUACUUUGUUCGACAAGUGGAUGAAUGAAUUAUCAACAUAUUGAACAUCGGUAACAGUCUGAAGUAAAUAAGGUGCGAACCAAGUGGAUGUAUAAAAAUGAAAAAAUAGAUACCUUUUAAUUGGUGCAAAAGGAAAAUGUGGACUGGAUGACAUCCUAGGACUCUCUAGGGGACUGCCUACAAUUUGGACAAAGACUAUCGUUAGGAACAGGAGAUAACUCCGCUUACUGUUAAUACUAAUUUUUACCUAAGAUAUCGUUUAUUGCCCUGCGCACAACAAAGCAUAUUUGAUCGUUACUAUCUGAAGUUAUUCAAAGCAUACAUGUACGGUAGAGACGUGCCGUGGCAUCAAUCAAACGGUAGCCAAUAUGUGCUCUGGGCAAUAAGAUAAUAAUCAUAAAAUAUUUUAAAGAGAUAUCUGCUUGCUAUCGGCAACUAUUUUGCUUGUAUUUCAACUAACUACAAGCCAAAAUCAAAUGACAACAAGUUAUUAGCGAGUGUUUCAAUUUAAAACCCACCACAGAUCGGCGACUGGCAACGCGGUAGAGUCGGUGAAGUUGUAGCAAUGAACGACUUUCGAUGAGCUGCUUUUGCUGCCCUUCGAGGAAUAUUGAAGUCACGCUACAAUUCAGAUGGACAAAAUGAGAAUAUGAAUCUGCCCACGACAUCCGAGUUACCAUCGGUUUGAAUAAAUCGCUCUUCAAAAAUUUACCAACCAUGUGAACAGACAGUGAUGGUGCUGAUUUUCCUAUCGCAGAGUUUCGCAAUCGUACCAAAUUCGAUAUUUCCCCUGCAGCUGGAAUCACGAGGAACACGUGAAUCUAUGCUUAGCCUAAAUUCACCAGGUUUCUAUUACCUGUUGAAACUAUAUAGUCAAGGUGAUAAUAUUUCCGUUAAAAAUUACCAAGCAUGCAAAGAGCUAUCGUUGAGCAAUUCAUGUAAAUCUUUUUCUGGGGAUAAAAUUUUAUUAGGAGAUAUAGAUAAGUGAUCACAUGCUUCAAUGUUAUUAGGUGUGGCAUAGUUGUCGAGUGCAUAAAUCUCUAGUGAUUACUGUCCGAUACUUGUGAGGUAAUGAUAAGAAAUAUAGAAUCUUUAAUUGGAUGUUA